ACAAUACAGGGCAAUUGUCUUGUAAUUGGAAUGAUGGUGACGUAAAAUCUCACCAGAGUAACAAUUGGAGGGCAAGUCUGGUGCCAGCAGCCGCGGUAAUUCCAGCUCCAAUAGCGUAUAUUAAACUUGUUGCAGUUAAAAAGCUCGUAGUUGAAUUUCUGCGUUGCCCGACUCGGCUACUUGCCUUGUCUGGUUUCGCUUUUGGGGUUUUCCCCUUUUUACUUUGAGAAAAUUAGAGUGUUUCAAGCAGACUUGUGUCUUGAAUACUUCAGCAUGGAAUAAUAAAGUAGGACUUUGGUUCUAUUUUGUUGGUUUGUGAACCUUAGUAA
rnacentral:rRNA from 1 species